UUCUGGGUGCUAAGUUAUGCAAAUGAAGCCAAUCCAUAAUAAAAUUACUGGAGGGAGCGAUAGAGUGAAAGAGAGAGAGAGGAAGAGGGGUCAAGCAGAGUCGAGAAAUAAAUCCGAAUUGUCAAUCUUGGUUCUCCUAUGUCUUUGUUAGAAGAAGCUGAACACAGAAACUACAUCUUGAUAGAAGAGGUGACAUCCCUCUCAGGAGUGAGAUGGAAAGAGAGAAAGAAACUAGCCAAUUAGAAGAGUUGGAUGCUCCUCCUUCAGCUCUGAACCCCAACCUUCACAGCAACAGAGCGCAAAACCUCAGAACAGAACAGGAAGGAGACUGGACUAAGAACGGUCGAAGGAGAGGGGCACAACUUAGAGGCUCGACACACGGGGUUUGAUUCAUACGUAAAGAUAGAUGUCCUCAAGCCGUUUCAGCCAACUCUCGAUAUUCCCCGGUGACAGAAGACUCAAUGAAACCCUGCCUUCCUUCCCACCCCACACACACACUGUAAUCAGGUCCACUCUCAUGUCCCAACACACAUAUAUCCCUCUUCUCAACCCACCUACCCCACACUUUCACUCAUGCCCUCCCAUCCUCACUCAGCACCCCACUCACUCACUUAUUCAUGUCCUCCCACUCACUCAACCCUCCUCCUUCUCCACCAUCCCCCCUAUCUGGGUUCCUCCACCUUGCUUGGAUGUGGGCGAGCUGGAGUGGAAAAGCAGUGAUGAUAAUGGAUAAAAGGGAAACAUUUGAUAGACUCAAAUCCUAGACCUUAAUAAAAUAUUUACUGAUGUGAGGGAGAAGUGGCUGACAGGGCCCAGACCACAAGCCUCAGCCCCGCUCACCACCACGGCCCCGCACCCAUGGCCCAGCUCACUCCACCCCACUAAAUCCUAGCACCCCCAGGCUUCGGCCUUGCACCCUCCUCCCACCCCAGCCCCACUCCUUUCUUCCCCAGGCAUCAGCCCCAACCUCUCCCAGGCCUUGGCCCCAGUCCUCCCUUCCCAGGCCUCAGCCUUGCUCACCCUACUACCGCCAAGCCCUGCUCCUCCCUUCCCAGGCCUCAGGUUGCUCCCUCCUUCCCAGGCCUCAGUCCCGCUCGCUAUCCUACCGCCCACCACCGCUCCUCCCCUCCAGGGCUUGACCUCACUCCCCCUCCCACUGCCCAGCCCCGCUCUCCCCCACCCCCGGUGGUGGAAGCAGAUUCAGAAAUAACUUUCAAAAGGGAAUUGGAUAAUUACUUGAAAAGGAGAAAUUUUCAGGGCUCUGUGGAAAGAAUGGAGAGAAGGGAUUAUUUAAAGAGCUUAAGUCAACACAGGCACAAUGGCCUUCUUCUGUACUGUACGAUUCUAUAUCUCAGACACAGAUUUCCAUGUCAAUCAAAAACAGGUGAUCCUUUUGAUUAAUUCUGAUGUUGUGACGGAUGUGUACAAAUUUUAUUGUGUCAGUAAAAUGGAGAUAACACAAAGCAAAGCCAAGUGACAGGUGAUGUAUGAGGUAACCAAGUCUCAGAUGAGAGUCUUUUACUGUGUGAAUUCCUCAAUGAGAACCUAUUCGUACAGUCAAUGGUAAUUUCCUGUUCCUUGCUGCUGUGCAUUCAUUUAAAACUAGAGUCGGUGUUGAAACAGAGGAUCUGAGCUCUUGGAAGAUAAUCUAUUGUGCUUCAUUCCUAAAAUAAUUUAUUAGUCUUUCCUUUAAACCGAAUUGGCUGCUGAUCCUCUCCCUGCGCAGAUGGACUGUCUAGGUGUAUAAACCUGAGUUUACCUGGUCAGAGAUACUGGAAGUCCAAGUCGAGGUCACUAGCUGAUUAGGCAGGAGGGGAUGGUCAGUCACUGUGUGUCCCAGGGCAGUGCACACACACACCACGGAUCCUAAAAAGGCUGAGUAAUGAUGCUGUGUUUGAAUCCUAACAACUGAUGGGAAUUCCCAUUCCACUGCACAGUGCAAGGAAUCAACAAACAGUAAAGGGGCAUUGCCUCCAUGCAGACACAUUGGGCUGGCCAUUCCUUUCUAAAAGUGGGACACAAUGACAUCAAUCAUCCCAAAAUAUAAGAUAGUGAGGUGAAAAUGCCAAUAUGUCACUUGUAGGUGGUUAUCUUACAAGAAAAUAAAUCUCCUUCGGUCCACUCUCUCCACACUCCUCUCUUUUUCUCCUCUCCAUCACCACCCACAAGUGUUGAACAUCCUGUAGAGUUGAAUGUUUGACAUCUUGGGGUGUUAAGAGUUAAUAACCAAGCUCCUUUUCAUUUUUAUUCAUUUAUGGGAUGUGGCUAGGCCAUCAUUUAUUGCCCAUCCCUAUUUGUCCCUUGAGAAGGUUGUGGUGAGCUGCCUUCUUGAACGACUGCAGUCCAUGUGGUGUAGGUACACCCACAGUUCUGUUAGGGAGGGAGUUCCAGGAUUUUGACCCAGCGACACUGAAGAAUGGAUACUAUUGUGUCUUGGAACACCAGGUUUCCCAAUGCAUACAGGUGGCUUUGAAGUGUUGUGAGUGGCAUGUAUUAUGACACAGCAGAUGGUAAAGGCUGAACUGUUCAAAUCCCAGAGGGAAACUUGAAACAACUGUCAUAACCAAUUUUUGCAAUUUGUAUUUUUCAAAAUGCAGGCUUUGAAUUCAGUUAUAAUAAGACCACCGCAUCUCAAGAGGGACUUUCAUAAAUUAAACAU